UCCGUAGGCUGAAAAGAUGCCCAUCUCUCCUCUUGGAUCCUCCGCGACCUCUCUCUCCAUGGCCGCCACGAGGAAGCUCGGCAGGUCGCCGCCGGCGGCGGCGGCGUAGGAGAAGGAAGACGACACGGAGGGGAUCUUCUCUUGGAGCUCCUUGGCCGACCUCGGCCUGCACCACCCCACCGCCUGCGCCCGCCUCCAAGUCCAAGGUCCCUCCCUCCCCCCUCUCUGAUUCCCCGUGUCUCUGUCGCCCUGUUGAUUUCGUAGUGCCCUAGGGAACUAGGAGCUCAGCCCCUAAUCUCGUCCACGUAUUCUUUGUUUUUUUUUCGAGAAAAAAUAGUCUAUGCAUAUGAUUUUCAAAUUUCCAAUCUGAAUGAUUAAAAUGAUAUUCGUGGUUUAAGUAGAAGUUUGACAGAAGACAUGCCCAAAACGUCUCCCACCUAGUUGUGAUAUGCAGAGAGUAAUAAUAUGUCAACAUUAGUGCAUUAUAUUGGAUUCCAGUUUGGAUUAAGUCCGAUUGCCGUCUUCAAAUCAGAAAUGGCAGUCCUCUGAUCUUCCAUAUCGCCGGUUUUGAGACAUAUUCAGCAUAAUGAUUGUAAGACGUGUAGUGUCAAAAAAGGUCUUACAUUAUGGGAUGGAGGGAGUACUUUACAGCAAAUCCAGUGUCUAGGUAUGGCAUCUCCACUAAUCUCAUCAUAUCUAGUUUGUUCAGAAAUUAAAUAGAGCGGCAGAGGUAAAGUUGUACAGUUGCCUUUUGCUACAUAUGGACCAAAUCAAAACAUGUUGAAUAAUAUCAACAUUCGAAUCACCAUCCCACCUUCUUCCAAGCUAGCACUUCCCAAUACUCAUCUGACGAAAGAAUAUCCAUCUUCUGGUGUUCAGCAAUUUAGACCCGUUGUGUUGAGAAUCUAGUAGCUGCACAGGCGUGUGCACUUGAAAAACUGUUUGAAUCUUAUUAUUGAUCAUCAUUAGGUUUCCAUUUAGAUACAGCAUAAAGUACCCUCCCUUUCCAUCCUUGAAGCAGCCAGCCGCAAUCUUCUACAGCAAAGAAUUCCUGAUGAAACAGUAAGUUCUUCCUGUGUACUAUGUUCUUUAAGAUGGCUGGAUCGACAGGAAGCUGCUGGAACCCAGCCUUGAGGCACCUUGCUUGCCACUGCCUGUAUAUUUCUGGCCUCUCAGUUCUUUGUGCACCCUCACAUGCUAUGAUGUUAAGAGCAUCCUGCCCAAACAGGAUCCUCUCAAUCAUCUUUCUUGCUUCAUUAUCCCGUGGAACAUUUGCAUCAAGCAUGUCAAACACUGAAGAGUAAUGGAGCAUAACCUCUUUGAAACGUUGUAUGAAGAAGGGAGAACUGAGUAAACCAUUCACCGUGCCAGAAAUAAAAAUCUUCGGGUCCAUCCUCCUCAUAGUUUUGAGCACCUUAUCCCUUGCACCAUUUACGGCAUCGGUUUCAUGACCGAGAUUCUUCAUCCGGAACAUGCAGUUCACUAUGAGAACUUCAACCUCGUCAAUGUUAAGAUCAUCAAUUUUGAUUGUCUCCCAUCUUGAAGCGGCAAUGCCCUGAUACUGGAAAGGUACCUUGAACCUAUUUGCGUAAUCAGCCAACCGCUUCCCUGUCUCCUCGAUCAUUUUGCAGGGGUGGAAACCUGACAGGGGAACGUCUAUACCUGUGAUCCGAAGCUUAGGGGCUCCCUCCUCUCGCUGUGCAAAAAUCUGAAUCAUUAAUGGCCACUGAAAGCCAAAGCCGAUGCCGAAAUCAACGAUGUGUACCCUUGGUUUCCCUUGUGAGACAUCAAGAAUAGCUUGGUUGGCAAAAUAGUAUGACGCCCUUCCGAAAGGGAAAGCUGCAAGAAAAAGGCUAUAAGCCUCUAACCAAUCUGCGGUACUUGUUUGCCUUUCCACGAGGUUGCGGUAAACCUGACUCCCGGUCCCAGCCAAGCGUGCCUUGAGGCCAUCCGCCAAGUAAAAUGCCAGUCUCUGAGUACAAUCACCAUCUGCUGAAGAGUGUUGCCUUAUCUUCAAUAGCAGUUCACUGGCCAACAGGUAGCUGUGUUCUGCCACAGCUUGUGCGCAGUGGAUUAGGAGAGUCCUGAGAUCAACCAACUCUUUCCUCGGUUGCUUCCUACUUCUGCUCCGGCCUUUCAGAGAGGUCUUGUUUCCUUCCCCCGCCAUCCUUUCUCGCAGUCUUGUUAUUCGGUCAGAACGAUCAUAGCAUAGCAGAACUUGGUCAAAAUUUUCAUUUCGAAUUAUUGCACAAGUGGUGAUGGCAUGAUGUUCAUUGCUCCUUCUUUGAAAGAUAUCCCAACCCCUUGGGUCUGCCACCUCAAAGAUUGUGUUUUCGGUCCUCUCUCCUACUUUUGCCUUCGUAGUCAGUUGGGAAAUAUAAAGUAUGUUAUUCUUUGAAUAUAUCACCAGCUUAUCAAUACUUGGAGCAAACAUUCUUUCCUGCCUGACACCUCUCUGACCAUGCAAGGCAAGGAAGCCAGAUCCGGAAGUCCAUCCAACACUUAUCAACGGCUGGUUUGGUAAAAAAGGACUCCUAUUGCAUAUAUAUGGACUCAACGGGGUUGCUAAAGGUUGCAACAUGUUGUAACUGGAAUAGUCAUUACUGAAGCUAGUGCUCCAGACCCUCUUGUAACGACUGGUCCCACUCUUAUCAGGGUUGUCUGGUUUGUUGUUGCUAUUCAAUGGCGGCCAGUUAGUAGGCGGUGUGCAUACCUCACCAAGAAUGUCACGGAAUGGCUUCUCAGCAGCCUGAAGAGCAGCCCCUUGGCAUAUGUCGACCUCGUCAACGUCUUCCAUCAGCAUCUGGCUUAUGUAGUGAAGAGCAUCGUUUGAUCUGAUCCGGUGGUGCUCAGGGCUACUCCCUGCAGCAAUCUGAAAUUUGUUUUGUCCAUGGCUGCUGUUGACACUUACUUGGUUGGCUGGGGAGAGAACUGUUGAGUGUGGACAACUCAGGUCGUAGUUGUACACGGUGAGUUGCUGCUGGGAAGAGGAAUCACCAUAUGGUUGGUUGGUUGCUGCGAGGGUGUCCAGAUUAUCACGGAGAGGUUCAAUUGCCAUUGUGGAAAGUCUGAUUUCCACCUCAAUACGAGAUAUAUGGUUCUUGUUUGUCCCACAGCAAAUGAACCGGCUUGUUUCCUGGAAGGAGAAAAAGGGAAAUGCAAGCUAAAUUAUUUAUUAGAGAUUCAGCUUAUGAUUGUUUUGGCAUGUCAUACUGGUUGAAAAAUAAAAUCCGAAGGCUUGCAGACACGAGAACAGCUAUUUUAGCCGGUUAAACAUAGAAUGUUUAAGCAUCAAUAACAGAAACAGCGUGAAAGCGAUUUUGAAUCUACGACGCGCCUAAUACCACUGUUCCUUUUUAUUUGCAGGAGGCUCCUCAUCUGAUCUGAGCAAGUAGCAAAAGUAGGGAAGCACACACCUUGGAUAUUAAGCAGCAGCAGUGGAUCCAAUGCUUUGAGAGAAGAGUAGCGAGGAUAAGUAGUGAGGUUGUAGUGUUGAUUUGAACUAAAUUUGUCGUUCCUGUACCUUCUGGCUUUGUUUCCAACGUCAUAAGAUUGUGACAGAGAAUGGUCCAGAUUACUAUGGCUUUGUUCCCAACGUUGAUUAGUUCUAGGCCCGGCCGAGCAUCAGACCUAUAAAAAAGGGUUUAUUAGGAGCGCUGGACUGGUUUUCAAUCAUUAUUAAGGUUCCUAAUUGAACUGUUAAAAAAUCCGAGGUAAUCGAAAAAAGGAGAUGCACUAUUCAAAGAAUGUUCUUCUUUCUUUUCCACUUGAUAAUUGAUAUAUAUAUAAUGGUAUUGGUUGAAUCUUUUUUAGGAUAAUUUGUUGUACUUUAUCUCAUUAAAACAAUCAGUUUUUUUGUGAUUAUCUUAAUUCAAAAUUAAAUUGUUG
rnacentral:lncRNA from 1 species